UUCAUUCCCUCUGGGACACCUGGUACUGGCCACUGUCGGAGGACAGGAUACUGGGCUAGAUGGACCUUUGGUCUGACCCAGUAGGGCCAUUCUUAUGUUAUGUUUAUGUUCACAAUCUCCACUAAAUAAAUUUAAGUAUUCGCCUGAAUUGCACUUUCAUGCUUGAGUGUGGAGUGGAAUUUCAGUUGCAAUAUGUACGGACUUGCAGAAUAUGCUAGGUAUUGAAGGAUGGAGAACCCCACAGGAAUGUCAUCAAGUCAGUUCAGAUUUGUUUGAUUUUGUCUGCAAAAUAAAUGACAGUUUCACACAGCCAGGCACACUGGACUAACCAAGACAAAGUAGGCAGUUUGAUUAAUCCAUACUAUCAUUUAGAAUAGUUUUUACAGGCCUGGAUUUUAAAGGUGUUAUGACCAAGUUCCAUUCAGCAAGGCCACAAGCACAACACAGGCACGCAAAAAUUCUUUGAUGCAAGCAAAGCAUGCUCAGAAUAAUUCCUCCUUGACCAUUUAAACUAUUAGUCUCUCUACCUCUAAACCAACUGUUCUCAAACUUUGAUACUGGUGACCCAUUUCACAUAGCAAGCCUCUGAGUGCAACCCCCAUAUAAAUUAAAAAUACCAUUAUAAAUGCUGGAGGCAAAGCGGGCUUUGGAGUGGAGGUUGAUAGCUCGUGACCCUCCCAUGUAAUAAGCUUGAUACCCCCUAAGGGGUCCCAUCCCCCAGUUUGAGAACCCCUGCUCCAAAAUCACUGUUUGCAAGCAUAUUGCAGGGGGAUGACUUCUAGUUGCCUCUGCCUCAAUGAUCAUGGAAGACAAAUGGUUGUGAAGUUUGCAACCAUUUGGAGUAGUUGUUUACAUCAAUGUGACUGUUAAGAUGCUUGCUAAUACAGAAUCAGAUACCAUCAUCUCUAAACUAAGAUCUUAAUUGCCUUUUUGGACCAUGGAACAAAAUCUUAUUCUUGUACUGGCCACAGGCAUUUAUUCAUACCACUGAUAAUUGCCAUUUAAUUCAGAGAGUGAUGCAAGUUUGUGAAUGGCAGUUUUGAGUACAAUACAGAUGUUCCAAGUUGAAACAGAGCAAGUGGCUAAACAAAUAUUAGAAAGCCCGUACUAAGUCAGUAAGUCUCUUUAGAGUCAUGGGAACUUGGACACUUGAGAAGUUUACAUCUUUUACUUUCUU